rnacentral:rRNA from 1 species
UACGGGAGGCAGCAGUGGGGAAUAUUGCACAAUGGGCGAAAGCCUGAUGCAGCUAUGCCGCGUGUAUGAAGAAGGCCUUAGGGUUGUAAAGUACUUUCAUCGGGGAGGAAAAACAAAACUAAUAAUUUUAUUUCUUGACGUUACCCGAAAAAGAAGCACCGGCUAACUCCGUGCCAGCAGCCGCGGUAAUACGGAGGGUGCUAGCGUUAAUCGGAAUUACUGGGCGUAAAGGGCACGCAGGCGGUUAAUUAAGUUGGAUGUGAAAUCCCCCGGGCUUAACCUGGGAAUGGCAUUCAAGACUGGUUAGCUAGAGUCUUGUAGAGGGGGUAGAAUUCCAUGUGUAGCGGUGAAAUGCGUAGAGAUGUGGAGGAAUACCGGUGGCGAAGGCGGCCCCUGGACAAAGACUGACGCUCAUGUGCGAAAGCGUGGGGAGCAAACAGGGAUUAGAUAC